rnacentral:misc_RNA from 1 species
UCCGAGUUGACCCCGGCAGUCUCCUGCGAGUCCCCGCCAUUACGCGCUGGCAACUAGAGACAGGGGUUGCGCUCGUUGCGCCACUUAAGGCAACACCUCACGGCACGAGCUGACGACAGCCAUGCACCACCUGUGCAGGCUCCGUAGAGCACCCGCUUUCACGGGUUUCACCCUGCAUGUCAAGCCCAGGUAAGGUUCUUCGCGUUGCAUCGAAUUAAUCCGCAUGCUCCGCCGCUUGUGCGGGCCCCCGUCAAUUCCUUUGAGUUUCAGCCUUGCGGCCGUACUCCCCAGGCGGGGUACUUCCUGCGUUAGCGCCGGCACCCAAGGGGUCGCUCCCCCAGGCACCUAGUACCCAUCGUUUACGGCGUGGACUAC